AUGCGCCCGGCAAUCCCCGAGGAGGACGGCGACGGCGGAAGGGGCCUCGACAAGGGCUUCGGCUUCAACAAGGGCUUCGCCGCCAAGUACGACCUCGGGGACGAGGUCGGGAGGGGCCACUUCGGCUACACCUGCGCCGCCAGGAUCAGGAAGGGGGCGCGCAAGGGGGACGCCGUCGCCGUCAAGCUCAUCCCCAAGGCCAAGGUGAUGACCUGCCCGCAACCUCUGCAAACCCUUGAGUUUGGAUCCCUUCGCUAG
rnacentral:rRNA from 1 species